AGCGCAGGCGGGAAGACAAGUUGGAAGUGAAAUCCAUGGGCGUCAACCCAUGAACUGCUUUCAAAACUGUUUUUCUUGAGUAGUGCAGAGGUAGGCGGAAUUCCCGGUGUAGCGGUGGAAUGCGUAGAUAUCGGGAGGAACACCAGUGGCGAAGGCGGCCUACUGGGCACCAACUGACGCUGAGGCUCGAAAGUGUGGGGUACAAAC
rnacentral:rRNA from 1 species